rnacentral:snRNA from 1 species
UCUAUACAAAGAUUAGCAUGGCCCCUGCACAAGGAUGACAUGCAAAUUCGUGAAGCGUUCCAUAUUUUA